CCCAGCCAGGCGGACAGCAGGCUCUGCACCGUCAGCCCCGCCGACCGCACCUCGUCGGGCGGGAACACGAAGCACACGGCGAACACCAGAGAAAGGUGGAGAUUGUAUAACUGGAAAAGCACGGCAGAGAAAGCAGCAUGUGAUGUUAUACGCUACUAAUGAUGGCAAACCAAGUCAAUAGUAGAUACCACCCAUGGAGUGUGACAUCCUAACGCUGGCAGAUGACUGAUGUGCAACUGCUGUGAUGGAGAUCGGGAAUUCAUGGUGGUUUAGUGACUCUUGAUGGUUAUAUCAAUAAAAUCAUGCUUGGAUUCUGUGCAUCUUACUUCAUUCUAAAAGACAUCCUUGUUAACAACUCUAUUAAACAGUCAUUUCAUUGUUGCUGUCUGGUGACUCACCAGUAAGGACUGUUUAAAUGUUCGUGAAGCCCAGUAAUAAAACACGGCCUGUUGAAGCA